GGGCGUGGAUGCGGCUGUGCUUCAGCGUCACCGUGGUGCGCGUAAGCGGAAUCGAUUUGCGCUCGGCAUAAAGCCGCAUCGUCAUCGAUGUGCAGGCGCCAAGAGCCCCGAGCAGGAAGUCGUAAGGGCCGGUCCAUGCCGCCCACAUCCAGAGGCUCGUCCCCGAUUACGCGGUGCCUGCCGGCCGCAAUCACAUUCUGAAGCUUGCCUGCGCCGGUUUCGCU
rnacentral:misc_RNA from 1 species